GCGUUGUCCGGAUUUAUUGGGCGUAAAGAGCUCGUAGGCGGUUCAGUAAGUCGGGUGUGAAAACUUUGGGCUUAACCCAAAGCGUGCAUCCGAUACUGCUGUGACUUGAGUACGGUAGGGGAGCGGGGAAUUCCUAGUGUAGCGGUGAAAUGCGCAGAUAUUAGGAGGAACACCGGUGGCGAAGGCGCCGCUCUGGGCCGAAACUGACGCUGAGGAGCGAAAGCAU
rnacentral:rRNA from 1 species